AUUGAAUGCUGGCGGCAGGCCUAACACAUGCAAGUCGAACGAGUGGCGGACGGGUGAGUAAUGUCUGGGAAACUGCCUGAUGGAGGGGGAUAACUACUGUAAACGGUAGCUAAUACCGCAUACCAUCAUAUGUGCCCAGAUGUGAUUAGCUAGUUGGUGGGGUAACGGCUCACCAAGGCGACGAUCCCUAGCUGGUCUGAGAGGAUGACCAGCCACACUGGAACUGAGAAACGGUCCAGACUCCUACGGGAGGAAGAAGUGGGGAAUAUUGCACAAUGGGCGAAAGCCUGAUGCAGCAAUGCCGGGUGUAUGAAGAAGGCCUUCGGGUUGUAAAGUACUUUCAGCGGGGAGGCGUUACCCGAAGAAGAAGCACCGGCUAACUCCGUGCCAGCAGCCGCGGUAAUUC
rnacentral:rRNA from 1 species